GUCGCAAGACCAAAGUGGGGGACCUUCGGGCCUCAUGCCAUCAGAUGUGCCCAGAUGGGAUUAGCUAGUAGGUGGGGUAACGGCUCACCUAGGCGACGAUCCCUAGCUGGUCUGAGAGGAUGACCAGCCACACUGGAACUGAGACACGGUCCAGACUCCUACGGGAGGCAGCAGUGGGGAAUAUUGCACAAUGGGCGCAAGCCUGAUGCAGCCAUGCCGCGUGUGUGAAGAAGGCCUUCGGGUUGUAAAGCACUUUCAGCGGGGAGGAAGGCGUUAAGGUUAAUAACCUUGGCGAUUGACGUUACCCGCAGAAGAAGCACCGGCUAACUCCGUGCCAGCAGCCGCGGUAAUACGGAGGGUGCAAGCGUUAAUCGGAAUUACUGGGCGUAAAGCGCACGCAGGCGGUCUGUCAAGUCGGAUGUGAAAUCCCCGGGCUCAACCUGGGAACUGCAUUCGAAACUGGCAGGCUAGAGUCUUGUAGAGGGGGGUAGAAUUCCAGGUGUAGCGGUGAAAUGCGUAGAGAUCUGGAGGAAUACCGGUGGCGAAGGCGGCCCCCUGGACAAAGACUGACGCUCAGGUGCGAAAGCGUGGGGAGCAAACAGGAUUAGAUACCCUGGUAGUCCACGCCGUAAACGAUGUCGAUUUGGAGGUUGUGCCCUUGAGGCGUGGCUUCCGGAGCUAACGCGUUAAAUCGACCGCCUGGGGAGUACGGCCGCAAGGUUAAAACUCAAAUGAAUUGACGGGGGCCCGCACAAGCGGUGGAGCAUGUGGUUUAAUUCGAUGCAACGCGAAGAACCUUACCUGGUCUUGACAUCCACAGAACUUUCCAGAGAUGGAUUGGUGCCUUCGGGAACUGUGAGACAGGUGCUGCAUGGCUGUCGUCAGCUCGUGUUGUGAAAUGUUGGGUUAAGUCCCGCAACGAGCGCAACCCUUAUCCUUUGUUGCCAGCGGUUCGGCCGGGAACUCAAAGGAGACUGCCAGUGAUAAACUGGAGGAAGGUGGGGAUGACGUCAAGUCAUCAUGGCCCUUACGACCAGGGCUACACACGUGCUACAAUGGCAUAUACAAAGAGAAGCGACCUCGCGAGAGCAAGCGGACCUCAUAAAGUAUGUCGUAGUCCGGAUUGGAGUCUGCAACUCGACUCCAUGAAGUCGGAAUCGCUAGUAAUCGUAGAUCAGAAUGCUACGGUGAAUACGUUCCCGGGCCUUGUACACACCGCCCGUCACACCAUGGGAGUGGGUUGCAAAAGAAGUAGGUAGCUUAACCUUCGGGAGGGCGCUUACCACUUUGUGAUUCAUGACUGGGGUGAAGUCGUAACAAGGUAACCGUAGGGGAACCUGCGGUUGGAUCACCUCCUUA
rnacentral:rRNA from 2 species